CAAGCACACAGAUCCUCUCUUCUCUCCAUGUAGUCACUACUUGGGGAUGGGGAAUGGGUGGUGUCAGCAAUUCAAGACUGAUUUCUUUUCCCUCUUCAGCACCCCUUUCCUUGAUGUGAUGUUAAAACCAGAACAAGAAACAGAUCGAGGAAGAGGCAGAGUAACAACAGUUGGGAAGAAGAUAUAGUUUUAGAAAUUGUGGAGACUGGGCAAGAUGUAGGGGACAAAAGUCAAGCAACUAUCAAAAAAUUUUGUAAGAGAAGGCUGAUGUCUGCAAACAAAAUGCCCAAUUCUGUCAAUACCUAGC